rnacentral:rRNA from 1 species
UACGGAGGGGGCUAGCGUUGUUCGGAAUUACUGGGCGUAAAGCGCACGUAGGCGGCUUUGUAAGUUAGAGGUGAAAGCCCAGGGCUCAACCCUGGAAUUGCCUUUAAGACUGCAUCGCUUGAAUCAUGGAGAGGUGAGUGGAAUUCCGAGUGUAGAGGUGAAAUUCGUAGAUAUUCGGAAGAACACCAGUGGCGAAGGCGACUCACUGGACAUGUAUUGACGCUGAGGUGCGAAAGCGUGGGGAGCGAACAGG